GACGAACGCUGGCGGCGUGCCUAAUACAUGCAAGUUGAGCGCUGAAGGUUGGUACUUGUACCGACUGGAUGAGCAGCGAACGGGUGAGUAACGCGUGGGGAAUCUGCCUUUGAGCGGGGGACAACAUUUGGAAACGAAUGCUAAUACCGCAUAAAAACUUUAAACACAAGUUUUAAGUUUGAAAGAUGCAAUUGCAUCACUCAAAGAUGAUCCCGCGUUGUAUUAGCUAGUUGGUGAGGUAAAGGCUCACCAAGGCGAUGAUACAUAGCCGACCUGAGAGGGUGAUCGGCCACAUUGGGACUGAGACACGGCCCAAACUCCUACGGGAGGCAACAGUAGGGAAUCUUCGGCAAUGGACGAAAGUCUGACCGAGCAACGCCGCGUGAGUGAAGAAGGUUUUCGGAUCGUAAAACUCUGUUGGUAGAGAAGAACGUUGGUGAGAGUGGAAAGCUCAUCAAGUGACGGUAACUACCCAGAAAGGGACGGCUAACUACGUG
rnacentral:rRNA from 1 species